UGCAUUUCUUUGGUUUGCUGACUCAAGCUGUGCUAAUGAGACUUGAAUGGGUGAAACUGCAGGCCAAGGAAGAAGAAAGGGAAAUCUCCGAAGCUGCAGAGCAACUGGGAAGGUCUUUAUGAAAUCACAAAGAAGUUUUCAAAUGCCACGUACUGGAUAAAGGGUGGAUACUAGAAAAUGCCAAAGAUGAUCCAUAUGAAUUGGACUUAAAGGUACUAUGGUCCUGUGGUAUACACUUUGAGCAGAAACUCUGGAGGCCAGUGAAAUGGUGAAAGAGCUUACAUUCCAAGUGAACCCGGUAAAGACAGGGCUUGUUGCUCAACAACCCCUAGAGUCACUUUAGCCCUACCUGGAGGUUAAGAGCAAGUGCUUUGAAGAUCUACUAAUCUACUUGGAAGCAAAGAAAACCUCACCAUUUUGGUUGGGAGAGAAAGAAUGUACACUACCAUUAAUGUAAAUUGUUGUUGUACUUAUUUAUUUGUAAUUUCACUGGGUUGGUUGAAAUUUAGGCACAUGGCAGUGUUGUGAACAUUGGUUUGUUUUUACAUGUAUCUGAAUUAUAUUACUGCUUGUUGAAAUUACCCAUUUUGUAAAUGAUUUUGGAAGAAAGGGCACUGUAUAUGUUAACAUAGUUUGGUAAAUAAAAUGGAUAUAAACUGUA